rnacentral:rRNA from 1 species
UACGUAGGGUGCGAGCGUUGUCCGGAAUUAUUGGGCGUAAAGAGCUUGUAGGCGGUUUGUCGCGUCUGCUGUGAAAAUCCGGGGCUCAACCCGGACUUGCAGUGGGUACGGGCAGACUAGAGUGUGGUAGGGGAGACUGGAAUUCCUGGUGUAGCGGUGAAAUGCGCAGAUAUCAGUAGGAACACCAAUGGCGAAGGCAGCUUGCUGGCAUGUAUCUGACGCUAAGGCACGAAAGCGUGGGGAGCGAACAGG